rnacentral:rRNA from 1 species
UACGUAGGGUGCGAGCGUUAAUCGGAAUUACUGGGCGUAAAGCGUGCGCAGGCGGUUUUGUAAGCCAGAUGUGAAAUCCCCGGGCUUAACCUGGGAAUGGCAUUUGGGACUGCAAGGCUGGAGUGUGGCAGAGGAGACUGGAAUUCCCGGUGUAGCAGUGAAAUGCAUAGAUAUGACCCGGAACACCGAUUGCGAAGGCAGCCCACUAAGCAACGAUCGACGCUGAGGCACGAAAGCGUGGGGAUCAAACAGG